rnacentral:lncRNA from 1 species
CAUCAUCUCUACAGAAAAAACUGAGCUGUUACUGUUAGUUCAACGGCUCAAAUUCCUCCUCCAGCUGUCACCUUUUUUUCCCACUAUAAAUAGCAUCCUCUUCCGCUCUUCAUUUCCCAUCAACCCAACACUCACACUUGUUCAAUUUCACUUGUCAUUUUUCAGUAUAUACAUUAGUUCAAUCAACUUUUAUCUUCUCUUAAUUUCAACGCAAUGGCGCAUGUUAGCAGCAUCUUCAAGGCCUUCGUCCUCGUUGUCGUUUUCGCUGCCGUUGCCACGUCAGCACAGGAGGUAGCUCUAGCUCCAGCUCCGUCGCCGGAUGCCGGAGCAGGAUUCUCCGUGCCGGUCUCCGGUGUGUUGAUCGGAACUUCUCUUCUCUUCUCUCUGUUCGCUUCACUGAGGAAUUAAUUAAAAACAGGAGUUCACUGUUUUGAUGUGAGAUUGGAUUGGAGGUUCAUUUUACUGUAAUCGAAAAUGCUAUUGAUCGAUUGAUUCUUUUGUGUUUAUAUAUGGAUUGUUGUUAUUCAUAAAUAUAUAUAUAUUUGAGCUUCUCUUUGUAAUGAAUGUGAUUUUUUUUGUUGAUUAUCUUAAUUUUUGUUCAAUUGGAUUUGAAAGAAGGCCGACAAUAAUCACAUAAUCAGUAUAAUUUCACAAAAUGAAAGUCUACGGAGGCCAUGAGUGGAGAGAGACAGUGUCUUCAAUAAAUCUUCAACCCAACAAAAAAUAAUUCAAAGAAGUUCAAAAAAGAGAAAGUAACGUAAGGACAAGAAAUGAAAACAACAUAGUAACAUAAUGGUAAUUACAACAAAAUAAAAGAUAAUCAAAUAUAAAAUAAAUAAUUGAUAGUAACAGAAAUUCGAAUACAAGCAAUUAUAGAAGCAAUACUACAGCUCUUAAUAAAAAAAUGGUAAUAAGACAACACAACACGACCUUCUUGCUCAUAAGGCAUUCAUUUACUCUGUUUUAGUCCAACAAUAUUCUGAAUCUGUUGGUAAAAUGUGAAAUGAAACAGAAGCUGAAGUUGUUGGUAUUGUUUCCGAUAAUCCUCGAUUCGGGCUUUGUAAAAAUUGAACCGAUCAUAAAAAUAUUAUUGAUUUAUUUGUUAUUAGGUUAUUGAGUUAACGGGUUUUUAAUGGUUUUAUAAAAAGAAUUAUUGAGUUAUUGGUUUGAUUUAAUUUUUUUUAAUUGGGUUAUUAGAUAUGUGGCUUAAUUUCUCUCUUUACAAAUUAAAAAACCUAUUAUUUUAAUCAUACAAACUCUUAAUUUCUCCUAACAACAUUUAGUUUAAACUUGAAGAUUCUUAUAAAUUAACACAUUAUGUAGGAUUUUUAUUUGCAACUUAAGAUUCGAUUAUUUUUCAUGUUAGUUACUAAUAUUUUUAUUUUAUGAGUAUUUUCUUAUCGGUUAAAUCGAAAACCGAACCGUUAAGGACUAGAAACCGAUAAAUCGAAAACCGAUAAAAAAUAUCUUAUUGGUUUAGUAUAUUUAAAAAUCGAAAACCAAUAAAUCGAACCAGUAAUAUGUAAAAUCGAACCGAACCAAACCGAUUAAGCACACCCCUAAAGAGGAGAUUAGACGCUGGCUAGGCCAUUCACUUUUCUACACAGAACGCGACAAUGCUCAGCCAACCUAUUAACCUUUUACUGUAAUUCUUGAUCUUCAUACUUUUUAUCUAAGAUCAUGUCUAUAUUCUAUUCGAUCACUCCUUUCCACUUCUUCUUUGACCUACCUCUAUAAGUCGUUCACUUUUCUACACAGAAUACGACAACGUUCAGCAACACCUAAAUCUUCUACACUAAUUCUUAAUCUCCACACUUCUAUCUAAGAUCAUGUCUAUGUUCUAACUAAUCAUUCCUCUCCAAUUCUUCUUUAACCUACGUUUAUUUUGUCCAACUCCUGUUAAACCAACUUCUCCUAUCUUCUCUUCACAUGUCUAAACACCAUCUCAGCCUUGCUUUUCUAAUUCGGUCUACAUGAUAUGUUGUUAUUGUUAUUGUAUUUGAGAGGAAAUUAUCUCCUAUGAUUGGUUAUGAACAAAGAUUUUAUAUGUAUCAUUUACUAAUAUUCUAAUGUUAUAUUUGUCAAUCAUUUGAGAAGACAUAAUAAUAAUUUUACAAAAUAAAUUUAUAAUGGACCAUAAAGAAGAUCUUUCUAGCUACAUAAACAACAUGGCAAGCAUGUGUUGUCCAAAUUCAAUGUUCGAAGAUAUUUGAUCAACCAUAAUAUGGAUAGGCCAACCACCACGUUCUACCAUGUUACUAUCCAUCAACAACACCUAUUGAAUCAUUAUAUUCAAAAUUGUUCAUUUCACAUUAUUUUAUUGUUGUUACAGUUUUGAUAUAUGUAUUCCAUCUUUAAACUAUUUUAAAAUAUUUUAUUUAAGUAAAAGAUCUAUCAAAAGCAGUUUCAAGCCUAUAUAUACUCUAUUUUAUCCAGAUCUCACUCAUGCAAGGUACUAUAAUCUUCCCACUAAUUAAUGGCAGAGCUCAUGCAAGGAAGUGUUUGGAUGAGCUCCCUGCCAAAGGGCUGGCUCUGCCCCUGCCACUAAUAACCAACAAAUAUCAUCUGACUUGGUCUUAUUUAGGGGUGGGCAUGAUAUGGUAUGAUACGAUAUUUAAAAUUUUGGUACAGUAAUUUUGGUAUUCGAUUUUUAAAAAUAUUAUACCAUUACCAUACCAUAUUAAUUCGGUAUGGUUCGGUAUUUUGACGUUUGGUUUCGGUAUUUUGCAGUAUGGUAAUCGGUAACCAUAAUUUGUACAACUUCGACAAUAUAUACUCGUAUACUAGAGUUUUAUUACUUCGACUUUUCAAAAGCACAUCUUAAUUGUAUUAUAAAUACACAUUACACAUGUAGAAAUAUUGAAAAAGAAGUACAAACAAUUCUUUUUGUUAGUCAAUUACACAAACAGGACAUUUCAAUCAAGAUAGAGUAACGAAAGUUUUAAUGUCUAAACAUUUUUAUACUAAUACUAAGUAUUAUAUUUUUGUGUGUGUAUAUAUAUAUAUGUAUGUGUAUAUGUAUAUAUAUAUGUGUGUAGAUAUAUAUAUAUGUAAAAGUUACUUAUGUAAUUAUAUAUACUUCGGUAUAGUAUUCGGUAUUUCGGUAUGUCAUUUGUAAAUACCGAAUACCAUACCAUAUGCCAAAAAAAUUUAAAAUGUAUACCAUAUACCAUAAUACCAAAAUUACGGUAUCAAAAAUUCGGUUCAAUAUGAUAAUUCGGUAUAUACCAUACCAUGCCCACUCCUAGUCUUACCGAUAACAAUAAUGAGGAAGAAAUAUUCAAAUGAAAAUAACAAUCAAUUAUGACUCUUGAUCCGGACAACAUUCUAAUGAAUCGUUUGGUAGAGUGUAUAAGAAUAAUGUAAAAUAUGAUGUAUUAGUAAUGCUUGUGUUAGUUAUGCUUGUAUUUUUCUUGUGCAGUGUUUGGUUCGAUGUAUUAAAAAAAACAUGAAUUAUAUAAUUUCUAAAAAAAAAUUUUUUUUUGUACAUAAUACCCUCAAUAUAUAUGUUGGAAAGGAUGCAGAAUUUUUUUUGAGGGGUAAUAGGAUCUUUAAGCAUGUUAGUUAUACAUUCUAUUGUGUAUUAAGGUGUGUAUUACUAAUACCUCAAAAUUCAUGGCAUUAGUAAUGCAAUGGAUCGGAUCUAAUGCAUGCAUUAACAUGCUUAAAGACCCUAUUACCCCUCAAAAAAAUUUCUGCAUCCUUUCCAACAUAUGUAUGGAGGGUUGCAUUAGUUAUACAUUGGAUGAAAAGGUAUAUCAAACAAAGUACUACUAAUACACAUUAAACUAAUACAUGUAUUAACAUUUCAAUACGCUCUACCAAACGACCUAGAUGAAAUUAGAGCAACAAGAAAGGACUAGACGAGGUUUUUAUUCCCAAAGAUGAUUCACCAAAUAAAAAGAUUUUAACAAAAAUGAUUUAAAAAUACAUUAUUUUAAUUUAUUAUUGGUGUCAAAUCAUCGUUGCUCUGUUUGCAACUAGUUAGUUUCUUUGAAGAAGGUCUAGGGAAAACUUGAAUCCUUUUGUCACCUUCAAACAAGUGCAAAUAGAAUUUAAAGAACCAAUAAUUGACGUUAAAUACGUAUUUUAGUUAAUGAGCGUGUCAAAAUCUUAAACAACAAAGAUCGAAAGAAUAAAACUUACUCUAUAGUUGGGAUUCGGUAUUAAGGAUAUUUAGCUCUUAAAAACUGAGACAAUUCAUCUGGAGUUAUGUCUACACUCGAACAAAUAUGCCUCCCUUUAAACUGAGAUAUUAUUAUAGGCAGAUUGAGCUGAAUUAGGACGAAUCAAGAUAGACCUAGUACGUAAACUAAAACGGAAUGAGUUGUAACUCAAUCCACCUAAUACUUAAAAAUAUCAUUUGACAAAGUUUCUCAAUAGUCAAUCUGAACUCGGCAGAUCAAAAUAAGUUGAGUUUAUAAAUAGAGUAAAUGCUUUGUUUCCAUCCUAAACAAUACACGAAAUUGCUGAGACACACCCGAAUUACCCCUCUGAACUAACUAAAACCAUAUUUUUGGCAACCUUAGUGGCACAUACGUGGCACAUCAGUGAAUCAACACACUGAAGAUCCACGUAUGUGCCAAAUAGGUACUAAGGUUGUCAAAAAUACAGUUUUAAUUUGUCCAGGGAUAAUAGGAUCCUCCUAACAUUCGAGUGUGAAAACAGAACAUUUUCUCUUAUAAAUAAGUCAUGUCUUUGAUAGAGAGUGAUUUGCCCCUAUUGAUGGGACAUUCUGACGAGAAACUGAUAUGGGCUCCAAAGCAGAUACCGAAAGUACGAACCUAGAAUCAUAGCCAUGGAGACAUGAACAACUUGAGGACAAUGAGGAGUAACAAAAGGACCAAGUACCCAUGCAUGAUUCAAACACACAACAUCAACUCCAUAUUUCUCUCCAAAACUCAACACUUGUUUUUCUAUUAAUGUUUUACUUAUUGAGUAAAAUGCACCUAAAGGAUUCAACUUUUUGAUAAAAUCUACAUCACUCAUGAAUUUUCAUCUACAAUAACAUCUUGACCUUCAGUAACAUAACCAAUUGCACCAUCACUCGAAGUGUAUAUAACUCGUUUUAUUGUUUUUGAAUCGAAACAUGCCUUCAAUACACCUAAAAUCGCGGUGAUAGCUCGUUGAAUUUUUGUGUUGUCAUCGUUCUCAUCCUCGAAAUCAACAGAGUGGCGAAUAAUAACACCAUUGCACCCUUCAAUUGCUCCUAGAAAGCUUUCAAGAUUUUCAGAAUUUGUCCUGAAAAUUUUGAGUUUUUGGGAUGCAUUUGGUAAUUUCCUCAAGAAAUUUGCUCCUUCUGAUUGCAUAACAAUGAAUUAGGAUAGGAAAAAGGUCAAAAAUAUUAUUCACAACACGAAAUAUUUUAAUAUUACACCCCGUUAUAUAAUUUGCUAUUAAUUAUUCAUAUUCUUGUCGUUAGCAAAUGUCAUAGUAUAUUGGCUCUUGUGCAUAAUAGAGCUUCAAACUUUAGUAUAACGAAACUCGAGAUAAUUUCUAACGGCAAAUUAAAGAUAUAAAUGACUCAAAAUAUAACUUAGGACAAAAUCAAUGACACAACUACAUUUAGUGAAAGGUUAUAGAACUACACAAAUAGGGGUAGAAACAACCUUUUUAAUAAAUAUAUCAAAUUUUCAAUUCCCUUAACAAAAGAGAAAUAAUGCAAGUUCAAGGUUUGGCACUUCUGAACUUUUUCUGGAGGACAGUCCGGUGCACUAAAGCUUUCGCUAUGUGCGGGAUUUGAAGAAGAGCCGUACCACAAGGUUCUAUUGUACGCAAUUUUAUCUUGUGUUUCCGCCAGGGACUGUUUCCACGGCUUGAGUAAAAUUUUAAAAAAUAGUUAACAUAACUAGAGGUUAUUACCUGGAUCGAAGUUAUUAUUAAUGGUGGUAUAUAUUAACAGAGUAGCCAGAUUGAAGAAGCUUCAUUAUCAACCAUGAUGCUACAUAUAUAACCUGUUCCACCAGUUACACAUACAAUAGUUCCCUUCUCAUUAAUGUUCUCCAUAUAUCUCUCUUUUUUAUAAAAGAAAUUUCUUUAGUUUGAAGUAUAUUUUGUGUAUGUAUGCCUAUACAUACAUACAUACAGUGCAGCCUGGUGGAUAAAACCUCCCGCUAGAUCCGGGGAAGAGCCGGACCACAAGACUUUAUUCUACGCACGUAGCGUUGCUUUGCAUUUAUGUCAGAAGUUUUUCCCACGACUUGAACCCGCUAUAUAAAACCUCCCGCUAGAUUCGGGAAAGAGCCGGACCACGAGGCUCUAUUCUACGCAGCGUUGCUUUGCAUUUAGGUCAGAGGUUUUUCCCAUGAUGUGAACCUGUGACCUCCCGGUCACAUGGCCACAACUUCAUGAUCAGUUACUUCAAGGCUCACUUUCAUGCCUCGCUAUAUAUAGGUGUCAGUAAAUCAGGACGAAUGUACUUGUUUAUAUAUACUAAUCAUCUAUUUUGCUCGAACUCUUUAAAAAUAUCAAUGCGUGUCUGACGAAUUCUCUAAAAAUAGUGUAUUUUAAAAUAAUCCGACAGAAAUGCGACAUUGAAAGUGAAGAGUCCACGCAAGUUAGCUAAUCACGUAAAAAGAGAUGUUACUUGAACAUUUAAAUAAUUAUUUAUGGUAUAUGAGUAUUAGAACUUAAUAACUGGCGAUUAUCUAUAAUAAAUAACUCUGAUUUCGUCGAUAAUUAAUUAAUUAACCACGAGAGAGGUAUAAUGAGAAGGAUAAUUUGUUGAUCCGGCCAACAAACUAUGCCUUUCUAAAACUUUAUGAUAAAAAAUUAUUGUGUUGAUUUAAGGGCAACAUGUUUUAUUCUUUACAAAUUUUUAUCGGAAAUAACUUUCCUAUCUCAUUAAAAUGUUGGAAACUUCCUAAUUUUACAUAUGAAAACACGUUCUUUUAUCACAAAUUCAAUCAAAAUAUAUGAGUGACGUUAACUUCAACAUAUAACUUUCAAAAUUUUAUUAGUAGACUUUGACAUAAAUUUGGUUGAAACUCAAAAAGAAAGAAUUUUUGAAAUUGAAGUUACAUGUGAACAAUGCAUAUCACUUGCAAAAAUUAUGAGUGGGUAAAAGAUUCAUUUGAAAAAUGAAUCAAACAAUGUUUUAAUUUGGAAAAAAGAAAUCUCUAUAUCCAAACAGGCCCUCAGUAUAAUUUUUUGAUAAAAGGUAUUCAAUCGAUCAGCUUGCGCGAUGCCAUUGAUUUAAAAUUCUCAUCAACGAAUUUAAGUUAUGGGCACUGAUAACCUAUGAUAUUUCUAUAUCGUACAUUAUCAAGACAAUUGCUUGUAUAAUAACAUCUAAGACUAUCUAUGAUAAAUAUGAUAUGAUAAUAGAAAAAUAAAACUAAUAACCUCGAAAAACAUGUUAAAUUAUAUAUAUGAGUGAUAUAUAAUAAAGGAACAUGAAUUAAUUCCCGAAUUAAUUUGAUGGGUGCAGUAUCAUUAUUGUCAAACUAUCAGCAAAUCAAUUAUAAAACUAGUGUGAUUAACUUUGGUUCUUAUAUAAAGUUUUUUAAAAAAUGAUUUUUUUUAACUUGUAAUCCUAGAUGUGUAAUGACGUGUACAUUAAUAAAAUUUUAGAAAACUUGUAACUUUAAACAUAUCAUAAAAUUUCUGAGCUAAAUUUUGGAACUUAUUCUUCCAUAUCUUUUAUUAAUUGAGUUUGAGGUCUAUUAUACAUAUGCUUAUUCAAUGAAUUUUUUAAAUCAAUAUACGGGAUCAAAAUCAAUUUUUAAAAUAAAAAAGAUAUGUUUGUAUGUUGAAAGUGCGCUCCUCUCUCUCAGCUAAGGAAAGAGUUUAUGUUUUUCACAAUUUCUUGUUGAAACUAUCGUAUCGUUACUUCUCUCUGAUUGUGAUUUUCUAUGUGUCGGAAAUUAACAAACAAGAAGCAGGCGAGGCUACUCCUCUUCCAGGGUAUUUUGAAAGACAAACAAAGAAAUAUAUCAGGAGUGCUUUCUGAUCGAAGAAAGAAAAGAGACGUGGUUGGUGACUUGAUCUGUCACGACACAUAGGAACUUAGUAUGGUCAGAGAAAAAAUAAAUAAAAUAAUGAUAGUAACUUAGUAUGGUUUCACGAGUGAAGUCUGAGAUAAAUGACAAAAUGAUGAAAAGUACAUUAUUUAUUUUGACUUGCUAGCACAUAUUAUUGAUGUGAACUGAAAAAUACGUCACAGCUAACGUAUUUUCUUGAUAGUUUCUCCCAAAUUUAUCACUAAUAGCUACAAACUUCUUUUUUUAAAAAAAAUAAAAUUUAAUAGUGAAUGUUUCUAGAGUAGACCAACUUGUUUGCAUGAAGCAAUUGCUCCAUCAUACAUAUCUUCAAGAUGGUACUUGUAUUUGAAUCCAGCGUCCAAUAGUUUCUUAGAAGAAAGACGAGGAAAUUUGAAUGCUUUUGUCGUGACCUUCAAACAACUGCAAAUGAGUAAUAUUGAGUGCGUCAAAAUCUAAAACGACAAAUAAAAAAACAAGAAAUUGGGAGGAAGGAAGGAAACUUACUCAAAAGUUGGAAUUUUGUAUUGAGGAUAUGUAGCUCUUAAAAACUGAGACAAUUCAUGUGCAGUUAACUCUACACGCGAACAAAUGUACCUGCCUUUAACUUUUGGACAUUCCAAAAGGAAUAUAUGAGCUCGAGCUACAUCAUCCACGUGUACGAAUGGGAUAACGCCAGAAUCAUACUCAAUAUUCGUCCAAUUACCUUUCAGAAUCAUAGGCAGGUGUCGAGAAACAAGUAGAGGACAUUGAGGAGUAACAAAAGGACCGAAAACCCAAGCAUGAUUCACACACACAAAAUCCAAACCAUUUUUGCCUGCAAAAUCUAACGCUGCUUUCUCGAUGAACCUCUUACUUAUACAGUAAAAAGGCCCCGAAGGUCCCAACUUUCUGAUAAAAUCCACAUCACUCCACCAACUUUCAUCUACUACAUCAGGCCACUCUUUAUUAAAACAAAGGGUAGCAUCACUCGAAGUAUAUACAACACGUUCUAUGGUUUUCGUCUCCAAACAUGCCUUCAAAAUCUCUAAAAUACCCUCGAUGGAUCGCUCAAUUUUCGGUUCCUCAUCGUAUUUAUCUUCGAAAUCGACCGAAUGACCAAUAAUGACCCCAUUGCAUCCUUCAAUUGCUGGAUAAAAGCUUUCACAAUUCUCAGGAUUUGUGUUGAAAAUUUUGAGUUUUUGGGACGCAUUUGGUAAUUUCAUCAAGAAAUUACUUGCUCCUGAGGAAUACUAACAAAACUUCUUAGAGUCCGUUUGGUAAGACGAAAAAUAUUUUCAUCAAAAAUAACCAUGUAAUCGUUUUAAAGUUAAUCGUCAGCUACCUACUAAAACUAUCAUUUCUUUCGCGAGUUUUAUACUCUAACUAUAGAUUGUUUCUUUUUUCCACCUGACUUAUCAGCAUCUACUAAUCCACUACGUAUGUAGCAUCUUGGUUGAGAAUGAGGCUCGCGAUACAUAGAUGGUUGAUAGUUCAAGUAGUAAGAGAGGACAACUGAUAGUUAAGACGUAAAACUCGAAAAAAGCGAUACUUUAUGUAUGUAUUUAUUUAAUUUUUUAAUACGUACAAUUCACUUGAAACAAAUACGAGAUAAUUUACUAAUAACAAUAUGCAUACAUACCUUGAUCCAAAUUAUUAUUAAUAGUGGUAUUGACAAAAUAGCCUGAUUGAAGGAGCCUCAUUAUUAACCAUGAUGCUACAUAACCUGUUCCACCAGUUACACAUAUAAUUCCCUUAUUAAUAUUCUCCAUAUCUUUUUUUUUUUUUUUUUUUUUUUUUUUUCUUUUUGCCUCUUUCUUUUGUAUAAAAGAUUACCUGAAGUAUAUUUGAGUGUCUAAAAACUAGCCUAUAUAUACAUGACAAGAUAUAUUUUUUUAUAUACAUAAUAAGGGUAGGUUUCCAAUGUGAAUAAUCAUGGCUGGAACGCCACAAAAUCUGACCAAAUUAUACAAGUUUUUUUUUUUGAAAUAAAUAAAUAAAUAAAUAAAUGUGAAUCAUGUUUGGAAGGGACACCAAAGUCUGACAAAAUAAUUUGGGUGUACUUGUGCAAUAAAUACAUAAUGUAAUUUUAAAAUUAUUUUUAAAUUUAUUUUUUAUUUUUAUUCCUAUAAUUUAUUUUUCUUUCAUUUCCAUUUUUCUAUUUUUCAAAAUUUACUUUUUGUGAUUUCAUGUAAUUACUCAUAUCUUCUUUAAUCUAUUAGGAGUAUUUAUUUUCCUCAUUUGGUAUAGCUACACUGUUAUUGUAAUUUUAAAACUACAUUUCUUAUUAUUAAGAAAGAAACGAGUCAUUAAAAUAAAACAUUAUAAAAAGUUUGUGAAUUUGACUAUCAAUUUUGAUUUCGUCAUAUGCUUUGAAAUCAAUUUUUAAAAAAUUAAAAUAUUAAAAUAAAGACCCAUAACUCAUGCAUGGCAGUAUGGUGGUGUCUUAUCUAAUGUGAAAAAUGGAAUGGUAUGGGUAUGGGAACUGAAUAAUUUCUUAAAGAAAUAUGAAAUGAGAGUAAUUUUUGGAAUAAGAAAUACUUUCUUUUUAAUCCCUUUUUUUUUUAAAAAAAAAAAUAUCACCUUACUUUAAAUAGAAAUAACUUGACUUCAAAAUUUCUCUCUCUUAAAUCUUAAUGAAAUGAUUAAUAAUUACAUAAAUAUUUAAUGAUUAUUUUAGGGGUAAACAACAUAAACCUCGACAGUUUAGAGCUUAAUUACAAAAAAUUCCGAUAUUUUACAUAAUUACUGAAAAUCCCAAUUUUGACUUAUCGAGAUACAUAACUAGCUCCCAAAACAUCCAACGUAGAUACAUGUUUUCUUUUGUAAAUUGGCCUCUAAUGUGUGAAGUACAUCGAUGCCACAUAAAAUGAGACGGAGCAAGAAUCUUUUUGAAUUAUGAAGAAAUUGAUAACAGUAUGAGGGGACUUUGCAGCACAAAAACAAAAAACAAACAACAAAUAAUUACUAUAUUAGACACUUACAAAUAAUAAAACAUCAUAAUGCUUAUACAUAAAAUAUUCAAAUAUCUAGCUUCUGCAUUAUGUCAAAACAACCAGUGCCCAUCUUCACUGGCAAACCUAAGCAAAUUCUGGAGGAUGGUGUUUCUAAGUAGUCAGUUAAGCCGUGAGCCGCGGCUUCGACUAUGAAUUUGGAAGCCGUUUCAAAUGACAUCUUAAGGAAAGGUGACAGAGACUCGGAUAUGCUUCCGUGUCUGCUCAUUGGCUGGUAUCCACCGGUAUGGGUCAUGAAAUCGGCUAUUAGACUCAAAUGUCGAUAAUCAAUCUCCACUCCAUAUAUACCAAAAACAGUCUUGACCUCUCUUAUGAGUGAUGCCCGAGCAGCUUCAACUCCGUAGGUGUUCAGCAUAGCACGAAUAUUGUUCGUGUAUAUACGACUAACAUCAAGGUCAUCUUGCAUUUCCCAGAAGGUGCGAAAAUCCACUCCGGCUGCUUUCAGUGCCCAAUAAGCAGAAUCAGUGUCUUGGCUUUGUUGCUUUGUUUGCUUUUCAUCCCACAUCACAGUAUUUUCAGUUACUUCAUACUUGACCAUUCUGCACUGGUCGAUUUUACCGGAGUUCUUAAUAUACACUUUCUUUGCAGUCUUCUGGGCAACCUGCAUGACUCAAAGACAUUUAGAUCCGAUCCCAGGACAGCGACAAGUAGAAUACUAAGGGGUCGUUUGGUUUCAAAACAAGUUAUACUGAGAUUAGUUAUGUUGGUUUGUUGGAUUCAAAGUAACAUGCAUGGUAUAAUUUCUAGGAAUAAAUUAAUUGAUUACCAAAAUACCCUCCAUCUUAUUUUACUUUAUAUAUAUUUCUUUUUAACCUUUAAAUAUUUCAUUCUUAAAAUUUUUUAUUAUUUUUUAGAGAAAUUAAAAUAUAUAAAUAAACAUAAUUUAUAUAUUUUACAACCAUUUUGAACGGUAAACUGUUCAAAAUUUAUUUAUUUAUNNNNNNNNNNNNNNNNNNNNNNNNNNNNNNNNNNNNNNNNNNNNNNNNNNNNNNNNNNNNNNNNNNNNNNNNNNNNNNNNNNNNNNNNNNNNNNNNNNNNNNNNNNNNNNNNNNNNNNNNNNNNNNNNNNNNNNNNNNNNNNNNNNNNNNNNNNGUAAUAUAUUAUAUUCAUAAUUAAUGAAUAUAUUAUACGUUAAUUAAACAUAAUUUAUGAAUAUCUAAUUUAUAUAUAUUUAUGAAUAUAUUAUACGUUAUUCAUAAUAUAUAUUUAUGUUCAUAAUAUAUAUUAUACGUUCAAAACAUAAUUAUUAUACAGUUUACCAGUUUACGUUAAUUAUUAUUAUAUAUAUAUAAUUUAUUUAUGAAUAUGUUAUACGUUAAUUAAACACAAUUUAUUAUUUAUGAAUAUAUAUAUGUGUGUGUGUGAGAGAGAGAGAAAUGAAAAUAAGGGUAUUUUUGUCCUUGUAUAAUUUUAUACCAAAGAAAAAUAGUCUUGGGAUUGUUAUCCCACCAUUUGGGUGGAUAACUUAUCCCGGGACUAAUUAUUAGUCUCGGGAUAAGUUAUCCCAAAUAUUUACAACCAAACGAAAUGUAUGAGUUACAUUUUUAUCGGAGUUACAUUUUUAUCCUGGGAUUAUUGACUCUAGUCCUGCAAACCAAACGGCCACUAAGUAAUGAAGAGUACUAUGGACCAAAGAAUUUUCAAGGCAAACAAUUUGCCAAUUGGUGCAUAGAGAUCUGACAGAACAGCAUAAAGUUCCAGUUGAUCAACUCAGGAGUCAAGAUAUAAGCUAGGUGAAGGAUAACUAAACAGUGGGUAGUGCAUAGCGAAGUGCUCAAUGAAGUGCAGAUUAAAGAAAAGCAUGUAAGAGCAUAAACGAAGGAUAAUUCAAUGACUUUUAAUUACUGGAAGAAUAGCAAAAAUGAUUGAAGAUACCUGAGCUAACAAGAUAUGAGGUUCAUUGACCAAUCUAAAGUGGACCUCAAAAUGCAGUCCGUCCACAGCAACAAAGACGCUCCUGUCUGAAUCCUUUCUGCUACGUCUUUCUUUCUUUUUCUUCUGUUUGACGGUUGUUUUGGUCCUUGAUUUACUUUUUUGGGUAUUUGCUAUGUCCUCUUCCUUAGACUGCAACUUAGAUGUCUGCUCUUCAUUGCCAUGGUCUCCAAUUUCCUCUUCAUCACCGUUUCCAAUAUCAUCCGCUUGGUCACUUUUCUCUUCUUCAACUUCAGCAGUGGUCUCAGGUUCUUCUUCAGAAGCAUCGUCAUAAUCCAUCUCAUCUGUGCUUUGCUGUUUUCUUUUUAGUGCGUCUGAACUAAGAUCUUCAGUUCUUUCAUCCUCAGCUUCAUCGUCGUCAUCAUCAUCAUCCCUCUCUUCAUGUCUGGUGCUAGAAGAAUUUUCUUCAGUCUCAUUUGAAGCCACUGAUUCCGAGCUUGACUUGAAGUUCUGUAUGCCAUUAAUUUUAGAGAGCAAGGCCAAAUGACUUUCUAUUGCAUCCUCCAACUCCCUUAAGAACACAUAUGUUAGGGUAUACUCGCAAUCUUCUGAUGACACAAAAUCAUGCUUUUUGAGCAUCACUGUGAGUUUGUAAAGUUGAGAAACUUGAUGGUUGUGGAUUGAUAGCGGCAAAAGAUUGACCUCCAUACUCUCAAUCAUAUCUGCGACAGUGAUCUUCUUUACUUUUGCCAAAAGAGACUGGGCAUCAUCCCUGAAGAUCACUUAAAACUUUUAGGUUUUGCAACAGAUUUCAAGAACGUGUCGUUGUAGAAUCAUUAUCUAUGAGAAAAAGCAGUACGUCACUAUAUUGUCAAUGUGGACUAACAACCUAUUAGCUCAAAGGAUUUCAAAUGGAAAGCCAUACUUUCUCCAUCUCGAAAAAACAAAGUUUGGAGAAUUCAACUUACUUUGAUUUCCAGCCUAGGAAGGGGCACGUCAUGAUGGGAGUCUUAAUAGUAUCAGAGGCAGUCAUCAAAAUCUCCUGAAGACGAGGAAUUCCAAGAGUGACAUUCAUUUCUCCACGGCCCGCAAGAUGAAAAGUGUUUAGUCUGAAAACGAAAACAUUUAAUACUUUUGACAUUGCAUUUGAAUGAGUGGACUUCAAAACAUUAUGUGUAUCUGAAAACUCUAGCCUAAUCUCCAAUAUUUAGGCAAAACACAAGUUCCAACAAGAUCCGUUAUCCCUUGAGAUGUAAGUACAAUAUCCAUGAAGUUUCAUUUAUGAAUUAGUGCAUUCAGUAUCUUUCAUUUCCGUUUCACUUAAGCCAUUUGAUGUCAAUUUUCACUAAUUUUCACCAGAAUUCAUUCACAGCUGCAGUACUUUUGGACAAAUUCUUACUGCGACGGUAAUUGGCAAGUAAUGGAAUUUAUUAGGCUGGCCGGGUGGAAUUUUCAAAAAGUUGAACGACCAAGCUUCAAGACAGACUUCAUAGACAUCAAUAUGAAAUUCUGUAACUAGAGAAAUAUCUGAAUUUCAUCAAUACUGAUAUAAAAAUUCUCAAUCAUGAAUAACCAUUUAAAUACUCCCUCCAUUCACUUUUGCUUGUCCACUAUACUAAUAUCAUUUCCCACGUUUACUUGUCAGUUUUAGCAUAUCAAGAAAAAAAAAUAUUUUUUUCACGUUUUAGUUUUUACCCACAACCACUUAUUCGUAAAUCUUUUCCCAAGACCCAAGACUAAAUAUAAAUUAAUAUGGGUAUUGUGGUAAAAUACUCAGGUCAACCAUUGUUUCUUAAGGGGAGUGCAAAGUGAAACUGGACUAGCUCGGAUCAUAGCAACCCACAAUAAUUCAAGCAAGUGUAUCAAAAAUGCAUCCAUUCAACUGGCAUAGACUGGGGAAAUUUUAAAAUUGGACCUGCAGAGUGGUCAGUGGUCCAAAACAAGAAGAAAAACGGGCACAUUCAUUUUCUGUGAUUAGUAAGAACAAAGCAAAGUCAUGGAUACACAGCCUUAUUGUUUCUCAUUGUGCAAGCAUGCAAGGUAUUAAUAUAUAGUAAGGGAACAAUUAAGUGGCUUGACAAGUUAGACAUUCAGAUGAAAUAAAGAGAAGAAAAAGGGGUUUCUAGCAGUGAACUACUAAAUCCAGAUAAUUUAUUUUCCAAAUAUCUUCCUCUUGGUUAUAUUUUGGAGCAGUAAAAACAAAUUAUUCACUUUUUUUAUAUUAAUCCUGUAGCUUCUAAAACCAAUGGAAGGAUUAAAGCCGGCAAAUAGUAUUGCGUUAUUUAAAUCCAAUUAUCAUUUUCAAGUUCAUACUUUACAUCCUAUGAGCAACAUACAUAAUCGUACUGAUGGUUUAUAAGGUUGCUACCCGGUUUCCCUCCUCUGCGUCUCAUUACUUCCAUUUUCUCAAGUGCGUCUGUGUGCUUGUAAUGGGAGUGCUUAAUGAUUGGACUACACCAACUUUCAUAUCUCUGUAAAUCAUAAUUGAAACAACCAGAGUCACUUAUUUCACAGACAGUUUGCAACAAGACCACAAUAUUGGAGCAAAAUGCCUGAAAUUCAAGCAAUGAUUGUUUGGUAACGUGAUAUUAUGAUUUGAAGACCCUAUUUCGUUUGUUCUUUGUCAUUAGGAGAUAUCAAUCCGUUAGGAUUUUCAUCUAAUCGUGGUCCAGAAAUACUUAACGUAAAUAAUAUACUUAGAGAAGAAACAAGAAGUAUAUUAUCUUACGUCAUUUGGGUUGAAGGUUCACCGACUGACUGACCAGCAAGGACACCAACUGGCUCUCCUGAAUCUGCCAGACUUGAGAAGUACUUUUGCCCUACUAAUUCUAGAAAAUCCACCUCCUCCGCUUUCAGUUGCUUCAAUAUCUCUUCCUUCUUCACUAGCUUCUCUAAUUUCUUCUCUAACUUCUUUCCUUUUUUCUCCCAGAAGUGCUUCACUUUUUCUUCCAGGCCUUCGGGCAAUUUCUCAAUAUAGGAAUUGAGUUUGCAUCUGUGACGCAACUUUUGGCUAAUGGUUUCUUGAUUCUAAACAUCAAAAAAUGAAUAAAUGAGUCAAGCCAUGGAGGAUACAGUAUAUUUCUUGUAUAACAAUAAUCCUUGCGAACAUUAAAGAAGUAAUGCAAAAAUACCAAAAAUGAAAAUACCGAACAAGUAGUUCAUUAAUAACACGUAUAUUAAAAAAAAUUACGGUAUAAUAAGCAGAGUAUUAAAUUCUAGAUCAUUUCCUUACAUAACCAAAGACAAAUUAACAUUCACAAAAUCCAACUUUGUUCAAUAAAGAAAGUAACUGAAGUGAGUCCAUAAAAUAGUAUUAUUUUUAUUUAGUUCCAUAUGUAAACUCCACUGUAGCAUGAAGUAAAAAUUCUAAAUUGAGAACAUCAUUAAAAUUCAUAAUAUCAAGAUACCAUAGCAGUUGAUAUGAAUUUUUACAUCAACUCAAUACGAAAAAUCAAAGUAAGAUAAAUUUCUAAUCAAGUUAAUAACCUAUAUAAUGAGGAAAAAUCAGAUUAUCUGUAUGGCAAAUCUUACACAAUCAGCACACAUUUUAUUAACUGUAGUUAAUAAUCAAUAAAGGAAUUCGAAAUCCAGCUCUUACAUCUUUCAGUGCUUUGAAGUUUUUGAGGAAACUUGUUCGAUGUACAUCAACACCAUCUUCUCCAUAAUAAAAUUGGAUAAUUGAACCAUCUGCAUCACGCACGGUAUAAUCAUAACAGACUUUAAGAGAUUCCAGGUUUUUUAUCAAGCACCUUUGCAGAUAUCCACUGCGAGAUGUUUUGACAGCAGUAUCAACCAAUCUGUCCACAAGGAGCCAACAGUCAGGCAUAUAAAGUAAAUAUGAUCAACAGCACAGUGAUUGAUGGCGUACAUGAUAAUGGUGAUUCACAAACAUUAAUUAAAUAAAGAAAUAUAGGUAGUCUCCAACCAUUUGCACAGCAGCGGAAAGAGAAUGGAAUAAAGAUAUAUUCUAAACUAUGGGUGUUCCAUUCAAUAGCUAGCUUAUUCAUGCUUCAGCAAAACAUUUAAGGUUGUUCCAAUAAAAAAUAAUCUACACAACUAGUUCGACAGAAUUGCACCUUGAGUCUGAAAUGCAACAACCCCAAGGAUGGCAAAAGAUUUAGCAUACAGAACACCAAAAUCCAUAGGAAAAAACUGAAGGACUAUAAAUCAACUUAUAACAACCAGAAGGUGGAAGUUAGAUCUGGCAGAUGCCAUAACCCAAGGAUGUACAAGAAGUAGUAGGCACACUUCAAUAAAUCAUAAAAUUGAAGGCUUAGAAAGGACUUUUGAAAAACACACUAUGGUUUUGAAAAGAUUAGACUUUUGUUCUGUGAGAGAAGCUGUGUGUGUGUUAUAUCAUGUUUGUGAGUGCAAGUACAGAUAUAUAGAAACAUAUACUCUCACCAUAUAUGGGAGUUUCCAAAUUUAUGUACAGUUUAUUCACAAGGUUGCUACUUUCAGUUUAAUUCAGCUGCUCUUUAAUGUGAUCUUCCCAUUGACAUUUUGAUUUACUUAUCUUUUUUUGAAUAAUUUCUCACUGAAUUUUAGUGGGCUUGUUUUAGAAGAGGAAUAUUGGGCCCUCGUCCUGACUCCCCUUGCCAUCUGUACAUACAGGACUGGGUUCAAUUUCUUAAAUUACAUGUCCUAGGAUAGGCUCCUCACAAAUGAGAGCCUGAGCUCAAAAUGGCUACAUUUUUCCUGACCAAAAUGAGUAGUAACUAGUAAUUAAGUCACAAUGACAGAGAGAACAAAUCAUAUAUUUACCCUUCACGACCAGCCAUGCAAUGAAAAUAGUACUCCUGGGGACGAAGUCCAGAAAGAAAGCGAUCACUGACAUAACCUCCUGCCCUGGAAGCACAGUCCCAUGGUGGAAAACAGGGCAAAGUUUUCCCAGAAACCAUUCGUGGUACUCGCUUUCCUUCCAACUCUUGUUGUCCCAGAUAAGAGGAAAUUUGUUGAAAAUUAACCUACAGAGAUGACACAGAAAUCCAUCAGAUGGCACAAAGACAACAAAACAAUGAUAGUUAUGAUAAAGCUGAAGUGUCGGCAAAAUGAUAUGGAAACAAAACUUUUCUGCUCAACAGUCGAUAAGUAGUGUAAAAUCAUCCUAAAAAAUCUCUACAAUCCUAAUCAUGUACAUACUUCUAAAUAGUGCACCAGAUGAGGAUCCAAAAUUCUAUAACGGCAUGCUUUCCUGUGCAUUGACAUGCUGAAUACUUUCCCUUAAAACAAGAGUCUAACUUUUGAAAAGGUUAAAUGUGUAAAAUCAUAUAGUCUAGUAUAUCACUAUAUCCAAAACAUAAAAGAAUCAUCAGUGCUAACAAAUUUAGUACAAAAAACAGACUAUAGCAUGAAAACCUACGUGAAAGCUGAAGAAAUAUGAAAGCAUAUAAAAUUGAUAGCUUCAGUUACUUAAUUUAAGCUUUAAUAGAGUACUUCCUGUAACAAACUUAGAGGUCAUGCCGAACAUGUCACUCUUUUUUAUUAACUGUAACUUCUAUUCUUGUAUCAGAGAGCUUAUGCAGUUCAUUAUCCAUUAGGCCAUUACAGUACAUUAACAUGUAAACGCAGAUAAUUCACAAACCGUUUCACUGGAAAGCAAUCAGAAAGAUCACCUACAAUUUGAUUUUCUCAAAGUAUUCUCAUCUAAACUCAAAUUUCAAAUGUGCAACAUAGUUCAUUCUCAGUCCUAUGAUAUUGACAAUUUCUUAUAGGACCUUAUAACCUUUUCAAUUUCAAAACAGGGAAAACGUGCAGUUGUUUAUAUAAGCUCCUAUCUAUUAAGGAAAUAGGAAUUCUGCAAUAGUGAAAGUGCAAGCAUAUUCACAUAGUGAACGUGCAAGCUUAUUCACAGAUUACGGAGUUAUGCUUAUGUAACAUUUUACAAAAACCAUAACUUAUUUAAGCACAACAAGCAGUUAUUACAUUAUAGUAGCCAAAAGAAAAUUUAUUUGACAACUCAAACAAUAUGGCUGCAGCAAAGCGAAAAUUCACCUUUACCUUUUUUGGAUAAGCGAAUAGCUUACCCUUUACUUUUUAUUUUUUGAGAUAAAUAGGUUACCCUUUAAUGUCCCAAACCUUUGUUUUUGGUUCAAGAUCAGGUUCCAUAGAUGAUUUCAGAAACUUCCAGCUACACUACAAAAAUCAUGUUUCAAGAGUUUCUACCUCAUUAGAAAGUAGUACCACAUAUGAAAUUUACUAACCUCGUACGAACUCUCUCACUCCCAAAUUUACCAAAUGCAUAAGCAAGAAGUAGCAGAGACAAUAUAGAAAAAAAAAUUACAAGGAACUAAAUUUUGCCAAGGUUUAUAAUCUACGAUUAGUUAUAGCAAACAGCAUGUCAUGAAAUACAUUGAGAACGUACUGAGACCUUUUCUUUUUAAGAGAAGUUCCAGGACAUAUGGAUGAGACAGUAACGUAGCACCACGCUAAAAUUAGGAGCGUUGUGAAUUAUCCCAUAACUAAAUAGACAGAUACCAAAACUUAACCAACUUACCGUACUUCCCUUUGCUCCGGUAAUUGUCAUAAGUGCGAUACAGUUUCUGGGGAAAGGUUUCAACAGUCCUUUUAGCAGCAACUCUUUAUUAAAUUGUGAGCCUUUAUUUGCCAAUUUAUUUUUCAUCUUCAUGUCUAAGGCUGCUGUGGCAGCUUCUUUGUUGCUACUUACUGCUUUCUCAAUUUCUAGUUGGAGCUCCAAAGGGCCUGCAAGCCAAAUUUCCAACAUCAGCAGUAAUUUGAUAACGAACAUACCAAAGAAAAAUUCAAUAGCAAGCAAUUGUACAGGACAAUGGUACUAUAUAUCUCUUCAUACGGAGCAUACAAGACCUAAAUGAUUAAUUUUCUUCAUUAAUAUUGAGAUGCUGACACCCUACACAUAAGGUUGGGAGACACCUGCAAACUGAUGACAUAUACACUGGAACCUAUUGGAAUCAUUUCCUUCAGAGUCGAUAAAUAUUUGCGUUCUACAGCACAACGUAACUUCGAUUUUAAUGUCCCUGACAGCAAUCAUUUUCUCAUAGAAAUGGAAGGAUAAAAACUUGUUACAGAAGUUUUGACUAGUAAACCUUAAUAGCAUAUGCACGUGGCAGAAAGUUUAUAUAUGUAAUACAAAAGAAUAUGAAACUGUCACAAAGAUAGCCAUGCAUAGCUAUGAUAAAAGCAGGGCAAUAUGUUUCUCAUCCGUUGCCUCAUAUCCUUAGCUUGAUGAAAGAUAGAAUAACACUUGCAACUUCAAAGAGCUUCAUGACAUACUCACCUAUUUCUCCACGCUUGAACUUCACAAAAUCACAAUGAGCCUCUUCACCAACAUCCUCUCCUUCAAGUUCCUCCUUCCUCCGAAUAUCGUAAUUUGGUAAGAUGACAAGAUCAUCAACACCACAAGUGAAGCCAUGCAGCUGAACAGAAUGGGCAAAUUUAAAUGAAAGAUUUCACCACGCAGGCAUGAAAAAGAAAACAAAUGUGUCACGAGAAAGAAAGAACCAAAACAACAUAUCGAACCUGCAAGAAAAUAGUAAAUAAACGACUCAGAGCAGAAAGUAAAAUGCCUGCUUUGUUGGAUCCAUAAAGCUCCUGAAUUGUGUGAACUAAACCAAACUUUCCAAACUGGGCCUUGUCGAUUACACCACGUACAAGCUCAUUUUUCCAAAUUAAGAACUUAUUUUCAGCGGUUCUAUCUUCUUCUUCUUCUCUUGACUGAUACUCAGCUAGGCGACUCUGGCUCAGGAAAUACGGAUAUGGAAUUUUCCCUUUGUUUUUCACAGUACAAGGUGCACAACCAUUUGUAAGAUGAUUUAGUAAUGCAGUGAUGACCUACAAGUACAAAGCUAAAAUGAUCAGUUCUCUACGAAGUUGACCUCUAUGAUUACCCUAACAUCACAUCCAAGGCCUCAACAUGCAUGCAUAAUGAGCUUGUUUUUGCUAGUCUUCACCUGCUUCCCUGUCCAUAGAGGCUUUGGUUUCCACACAGCAGGCAAGAUAGUCUGCACAACACCUUCAGAAUCUACUACAGACACUUUAUUUGAGUGAUUGCCAGAAGUAGGACAAGGCCCAGCAGCAAACACACCAGAUCCAUACAGAAGCUGGUUGAACUCAUGAAGAGUCAAAAAAGUAUUCUUCAUGGUAAGAAUCACUGCGCCUACAAUAUGAUCCUGGAGAAGAUGAUCAAGUCAAAGAAUUAUAAGAGAAAUAUACAAUAAACAGAUAACAAGAAUGAAUCACAAAAAAUUGUUGGUGACAAUGUGCAGUUUAGUUACUCAAACCUGAAUCAAGCCUCUAACUGUAUCUCCCUUAGUCGGGACAAUGUACUGUUCAUUAGCAUUUACAAUGUUAUAUGCUUCAGCACGAGAAAUUUCAUCUUGUGGAAAGUGGACAUUCAUUUCAUCACCAUCAAAAUCGGCAUUAUAGGAACUAAAACAAUACAAGAGCAGAUUAGUCCUGGAAAGAAAUUUAGUACCAUAAUGUAUAUGGAAAAUCAAAUAGAGAAUUCCAACCUGCAAUUAGCAUAGUGCAUGCGAAGAGUUUUUUCUCCUUUCAGUACACGGACAACGUGGGCCAUUAUACUGGGUUUGUGAAGCGUAGGCUGCCAUCAACUUUUUCCAGUUAGACCAUUGUGCAGCUAUGAGAAAACAAUUAGCAAGCGAACACAAAGCAGUUAUGGGUGCACAUUCCAAUGAUCACUUUUUGUGAAUAUUUUGUCUAUGCAAGUGAAGCUACAAAGUGAAGAACCAAAAUAAUUAUGUACCAAAAAAAUGGAACCAGCUCACUUGAGCCCUCAAACGGUCAACCUGACAGAAUAUAGGUAACAUUCCAUUGAUCACUGUCAUGAAUAUUAUGUUUAUGCAAGUGAAGCAACAAAGACAAGAACCAUUAUAUACCAAAAGUAGAAGCAACUCAUUUUAGCCCAAAAGUCUUCAACACUGGUCACACAUCAACAUAUUUGGCCCCAAGUCACAUGCCACUGCUUCAGAUAUGUGAGAUCCAAACAGGUGCCACAAAGUAUUCAGAAUAUCUUGUAAAUAGCCCAAGCAAUUUAAGAGGUGAUUCUAAGAGGCUGAUAGAAGAGCUAGUCCACAGUACCUACCCAAGACCAUGACAACUACUGUCACCUUUUCUAGGCAAGUUAUUUUGAUUUUACUCAUUGAUGAGACCAAAUGUGGUAGGCCGCUGCAUUAAUAUUCUAUUCCAACCACUACAGUACUGCUACUGUAAGGGCAGUGGGAGGUUUCUCAUGUUGAACUAACAGAAAAGAAAAGAAUUUCUUAACUGAAAAAUAAGCUAGAAAAUCCAAAGAAACUCUUGACAGCGAUGAAAAAGAAUCUCCCCUAAUGUUCUGUUCUAGAUAAGACAGUAAAACCAGCAGUUCAUACUGAUCAAUCCAGUAAUAGGCCAACUGGAGUGAAUGUCACCGUGGUCAAGUUGCACAAACCAAGAGUUUUCUUACUCCUGGGUAAGAAUUCCAACCAAAGGCAGACUGUAUCAGCUUGGUUAUUGUUAGGAACUAGUUUUCUUUCACUCCACCAAAAAUAGAAAGAGCCUCCUUAUUUGUUAAUCUAUCUGUGGGAUACGAGAGCAACUGUGCCUCGAUCCCAAGCAGGUUGGGCUCGGCUAUAUGGAUCCUAACUUAUCAUGUCGCUCCAUUUAAACUCAUCUCAAACAGAUAUUAUAAAAAAUAAAAAUAAAAAGUAGAAGUACUAGAAGUGGUUACUCAACAUGAUUCUUUCAUUCGUGACAAGAUUUCUUGGAGGACAUCGUGAAGAUUAUGGAUAAUUUCCACACACAGCAAUACUCUGACUAAAGCUUUAGUGAGUCAUCUGAAUUUCAGAUCGAUUGAAAUUUCCUUCCUCAGCCACUUAAGGGAAAGUUUUGCCGUGAAGACAGCUUCUUGUAACUCAUCUUUCAGAGCAGAGGCAACUUCUUAAAAGAAGGGAGCUACGGAGUUAAGGGAUUACAGACCUAUAGAGGGUACAAGAUUGUUCUAAAGUAUUUGACUGAGAAAUUCAAAUUGGAGGUGUACAAACAUAAAAUAGCUUUCAUAAAAGAGGACAGAUAAUGGAUGUCUCGUUGAUUGCUAAUGAAAGUGUGGAUACCAGAAUAAGGGGACAGACACCUAAGACUUUUUACAGACAUUGAAAAUGCAUAUGAUCAUGUAAAUUGGGAGUUUCGUGUUAAACUACUGGAGGAUAUGGGUUUCGGGAGGAAAUGGAUAAAAUGGAUAUUUGUUUGUAUUAACACUGUCAGGUUUUCUUUUUGAUGAACAGAUGAAGUAGGGAGUUAUGUAACUGGCAUCAAUAAGAAGCAAAUAGUACACAGAAGAUGGGUUAACUCCGUCACAAAAAAAUAAAUUAUCCAGGGCAGGUAGCUAACCAAAAGAACCGAAAAAAAACAAAAGGAUUGGCUGUCAAGCCAAAGUUAUAGAGCUAAUGAAAUCCAGAAAUGGAAAAACAUCAUUUAAAGGGAUAGACUACUCCAACUAAAUAGAUUUAUAAGAUUAGAACAAUUGACUAAGAAAGCUAAGUGAAGAGGGACACGAACAAAAGAGAAAAAAUGUUAAUGUAAAUGAAGAAUCACAAAAGGCAAGGACUAGCCAUUUGUUUUACUUCCGCUUCUCUUGUGCUUUGAAUAAAUUUUUGAAAAAAACUUAGAUACCACUAUAUUUAAUGAGCUAAACUACUGACACUGCUCCAUUGCAUCAAACCCCCGGCAAUCACAUGCUUGCAACUUUGAUAUCCUGGUGUAAUCCAUGUUAUAAGUAGAAAACGCUAAGUGGAAUAUCCAUUAGAACUUCUUUUUCCUUAAUUACAUAGCAUCAUAGUGCCAACAGUUAAUCUGUUAAAAACAGCAGUUCUUUUGUUAAUUUGAAAACGGCAAUUACACCCAUAGAACGCAUGAAAUACUGCAUAUAACAAGCUCUGAAGACUGAAGCAAAAAGCUUUACCUGUCUAUUCACAAGAACAAUAUCCCCAUCUUGUAAGUGCCGCUGAACAACUUUUCCUUCAAAUUCAUAUUCAUCGUUCCUCCCAGAUUGAGUCACCAUCCCACUUGAGGAAGGCAAUUUUCUAGAUAUUGCUACACGUGCCCUUUUGCUUGAUGGUAGUUUCACAGUAGAUAUUCUAUCAGCAAAAGAGAAAGCCCCAGGAUGGUUAUCAGGCCCAUUGAUUAUAGCUUCUCUCAUUUUAUUAGCAUUCCAAGGAGUCACCCUCUGAUAAAAGAAUGAGAUAUUAGCAGAGAACAAGCAAAGAUGAGAUAGUGCUAAAAGUUAGAAUUCAUCUCGCAUAUAAAAAUAAGUUGUCAAGAAUACUUUUCUUCUCUUUUCCUCUUUCAUCAUUUUUAAAUUUUCAUCUUCUCGUCAUGUCAAGUAAUUAUAUUAGCUUAAUUAAACUCCAUUAAUAAACAUGGCUAUUGAACAAUACAGGGAAAGGAGAUAUAUUUGCUCUAACUGGUUCAUAUUCAGCCCAUGUAGAUCGAAUAAGGAAUCUUAAAUAAAUCCUAGACACCAGUUAAAUUUGAUCCAUUUAAGCAGUUUGGAUGAACCUUGCACAUAUUUAAGAAUAAAAGACGAACAUUAUCCACACCCUAGUAUAUGAAGCCUUCGCUGACAUUUUUCUCUACAAAGAAUCAAAUAUAACAGUAAAUUAACAAUUGGUAGCUACCCACUCAGUUGUUAUCAACCCUUCCCUUCCACCAGAAGUACAUGUUACAGGCUAAGUUGCUUGGACUUGGGUGCGGGUAUCCGAGACGGGUGUGGAUCCGAGAGUCGGAUUCAUUAAAAUAUAAAUUUUAAGAUUCGCGGGUGUGAAUCCAAGUAUGGAUAUGGGUGCGGGGAUUCGGCCAAAAAAAUCAAAUAUUAUAAAUAUAGAGUAAUAGUAUUAGUAUUAGAAACUUUUUCCAAAACUAUCUCAUGUAUAUUUACCAAAAAAUAAGAAAUUAAGUAUAAUUAAAAUUUUAACCAACAUACUGUUGUCAAAGUAAGCAUACUGCUGUCAAAGUAUAUCAUAAAGAAUUUAAAAUAAAGAAAUACAAUCAACCGACCUAGUAUUGUCAAACUGCCAACGUAAGCAUACACUGAUUGUUCUUAUUUGUUAUUAAAAAUAUAUAUAUAUAUAUAUAUAUAUUAAUAUUAAUAUGUACUCCAUAUAACAAAAAUAAAACGCCGGCUGAACUGACACAGUUACGCCAACGCCGACGCAGACUGAGGUGGGAAGAAACGGAUGAUUGACGACGACGGUUUCCGGCGACGGGGGUGGCACAUCGACAACGCCGUCUCUGUUCCGCCUAUUCCGGUGGUUGUUGAUCGGAAUUUUCUCACGUAAGUUGCCUAUUAACUUGGUCAACGUCUCCGAAAUCGUUCGAUCGAAUCGGAGACUACGGAAGCACCCGCACCCGCCUCAGUCUCGUGUCGAGACGGGUUCGGCGGCAAAACCGCCGAGUCCGAGCAACAUAGGUUACUAGUGCUUCAAUUUCGAGGAGUGUUAAAAACAAGCAAAUUAAUAAUGUCAUCUAAGUCUGGUCCAAAUUAAGUUAAUCUCUUAGUUAAUAAUGCAUGCUUGAGACCCAUCGUUACAAGGGCAUCCUUCACAAAAAUGGGGCUCUUAAUCAAGGAUGGCCAGAAUAACUUGAUAGCUUCAGAUCUUUCUGACAAGAGAAUCUCAUUGGUACAGGAUCCAACACUAUCCCCAGUUUUAUCUUUAGUUGCCUUCCAAUUGUUCAAGGGAAACAACACCAAACUGCCUUAACUCCUGUGAGCCACUAGGGUUGACAUUUACUGGUAGGGUGGUGGCAAGGUUAAAGUGUGCAUGUGAGAGUUUGAGAAAGCUUUGUGUAGGUUGAAAGUUGUGCAAGCGACUAGCUAAAUUUUCGGUGAUUUAACCUAGACCUUCAAGAAAAGGAAUUUGAAUAAACUACUUAAAAACCUGAGUACAAUGACAUAGAAGAUAAUUCCGAAUUUUCGCAGAAUAUGGUGAAAAAUGCAAGUAAUGGGGAAAACGCCAAAGCACAAAUAUAAAAGAGAUAUAAAAAAAAGGUCGUGGAGGAGGCAGGAGACAGUGAUGAGAGAACACUCAUGCACGGCAGCAUAGCAGCUACAAACUGAAGAUUUUUGCAUAUAUCCCAGUUUGCACAAGGUGAAAGUAUCUUCCCGUGAUAAUUUUAGCCAACAUUCCACAGCUAGCAAGGAGUUCAUGUAACAUGUGUCAAUUUCUCUUGUAGGAACUUUGAGCACACGAUGGACUGAGCAUCUAAAUAGACUGAUAACCACACUAAACUCUAACAACGGUAUUAAGUUUAUAUAUAUGUGAUUAUAGAAACAAAAAAAGACUCCAUCCAGGAAAAUCUUUGACCACAAACAAGUAGAGCAAUAAUAAGCCUCCUGCCAAAACUUUUAACCAUAUUUAAAAUAAAAAAAAAAAAAAAAAAAAAAAAGGGAAACCAAAAAUAAAGAAAAAGCAGCACCAGGAAGAGGAGAGGAAGAUCAUCAGUAAAGUAAAAGAGAAAAAUUACGUAUGCAUAUAACUUCAGCUUCAAUUUUCUUCGAUUCAAUUACGUCUAAGACUAUCGAAAAUCUGGACAACAAGAUAAAAUAAUAAAGAUCUAAUAUUUGCUGAAUCCUAGAAUAUUAAAUCUAUCUAAUAUGGUGUGUGCAGAAAAUUUGAAAUUUGUAUUUCUUGUUCUUAUUUAACUUUCUCGAUAGGAAAAGAAGAGUACAAACAGUACAGCAAUUCCCAAAUAAGUAAAACUUAGCAUCUUCACCCAUACCUCAGGAUAGGUUAACCUUAAAGCAAAAUAUGGUGGAAUUCCAAUUUCAUUGACAGCCAAAUAAGGAUCUGGAGAUAUAACUGAUCGACAGGCAAAAUUGACUCUCUUCCCCAUCAUUUUCUGGCGGAAGAUACCUUCUUUCUUUUCCAACAAUUGACAUAUGCCCGUACCAGCAUCUUUUUGACCUGGACCUGUCAUAUGAUAUAGAAGAUACAGCUAAUCAGCCCAGAAUGAUUGCAGUCAGUCUGCAGAGUUGCAGAGUAGAUUUAAUUGCCCCAAUGACCAAAUUCAGUAAUAGAAAAUGAAACUACAAGUCAUCAGCAAUAGCAAAUAAACACCAUCACACAGAACAUAGCAUAGAAAACUAGACGUUGUUUCAAGGAACACGUGUAGACCCUUGCUUUCUUUAGAGAUCAAAUACCACGCCACAUACACACAAGUCUACAGAACAAUAAACCAACUUAAAUUCAGACAACGGCGAUUCUUAGCUGCAAUCAAGUUUAAACUCCAUACCUAUUUGGAUAGUUGAAGACCUAAAAUAAACAAUUGUUCCUCUCUAAAGAUCAAAAUUUUAGAUGAAAUGAUCACAUAGUUUAACAUGAUAUCUAGGCAAAAGUCCUAGGAUCAAGCAUCAGCGUCACCUUAACAAAAAUAUUUUCAUGUGCUUGGUCCAAGACAAAAUAUUCAAACCCACACAUAAGGGGCCAUGAGUUGAAGACCUAAAGUAACCAAUAAUAAGUGUUGUGACACUACAAGUUUAAGCUUUUAAAUGAGAUGACCCAAUUGAAUAUGGACGGAUAACCAACAAACUGAUAAUUUUCCUACAUUUUUCUUAUGACCGAGAAAUUCAUCUUGAGCUGACCCGUUCGGCCAAUCACAGCCUUGGAAACUGGGAGAUGAUGGGUCUGCCUUCUGCCUUUCUCCACUUAAAAUACCACGAGUUAGUUCGCUUGGUGCAGGGCUUGAACAUGUGACCUGAGACACAAGUCCCUCAACCUUUGCCAACUAAGCCUAACCCCUGGAGCGGCAAUUUUCCUACUUAUGGUGAUCAAAGCCAGUGAACGCGGAUUUUGCAGGAUAAUUCAGUAUAUGCUAUCAUAGUUCCCCCAACUGCAUCACUUAAGGCGCCUACACAAUGCAAACCCAGUUCUGAUCUACCAACCUACAAAAAUGGUAGCCGAGUCUGUCUGUUCCUAACAGGUUUAGAUAAGAUAUCUAUUUACCUAUCACUACAAAAUCUAGGAAAUAGUCAAGGAAAGCAAGUACAGAGAAACUUCAAGAUGUUAGCAGUGUGUCCAUAAUACUCGAACCCAUAAAUGUAAUAUUCACAUUUUUUUAUCAAGAACAUGUGUUUCAUUCAUAUGGUCAAAAUGGUUGAAUGAUAUCAAAAGGUAAAGAAUCUACAGAGACAUGAUUCUCUAUAAAUUACAUCCCAUUAUCUAUACAACAUAGAAUAAUUUUUUUUUUGAGAAUGUAACAUUUUGUAUAUAUUUAACAAAGCAGCAUUCAGGUUGUACUGAAACCAUAUUUACAAGUGAAACAGAAGAACACUGCUCCGGAAACCUUAACAAAAACCUAUGGUGUCUAUCAUUGAAGUAAUAUCUUCUAUGUAUCUCUGGUUAGACCAAAAACAGAAAAGUCUAAACAACUCAACUUAAUCCUCUGAACUGACUUGCUAACAUCUUGAAAACAGCUGGAAUUUCUCUCUUUCCCUAUUGUCCCACCAAAUGCAAGCAGGGACAAUCCUCCAUCUAUCUCUGUGUGUCAAUCCUACACUUGCUUCUUCCCAGCUCAGCAAGACCUCAGUAAUCUUCCUUGGCAUUGUCCAAGCAAUACCUCUGAUGCUAAUGAAGAUCUUCCACAGCAUGUCUGUGACCCUACAGUUUAUGAAUGGAUGGCUGAUUGUCUCAGCCUCUUCACCGCACAUGUAGCAUUCCGAGCGAGUAUUGACAUUUCUCUUGCUAGGGUUUUCAUGAGUCAGCACCACUUCCCUGGCUAACAACCAACUAAAACAUGCUACUUUUGAGGGUAUUUUAACUUUCCAAAUGUUCUUCCAUGGCACCAAAAGAACUUUUUGUGUGCACCAAAAGAAAAUAAGGGAACGAAAACUACUCAACUGAGAGAAAAUCGACUUUACUCCUUCAACUGCUCUUCCUUUAUUUCUCUCUCAAAACACCCACAUUAACACAAGUGGGACGAUGUUCCAAAGCCUUUCAUCUUCUCUUUCUUCUCCCGCUCUUCCCAAUUGAACAUUCUUUCACAAUUUUUGGCAUUGCCCAAAGAGUGUCAAACCACCUAGGCAUAUCUAAACAUAGCCUCAUGGUAAAGUGCUAAGCAUAAGGAAGAGAUUCUAUGGUUGGAAAGAAGCCCUUCCUUGCUUUCACGGUUUCGGCAUUCAAAGUCAAAGGAUUCUUUGUUUAAGUUUGAUAAUACAGGAAAGGAAAUUGGGGCCGAUUGCCCUUCUUUUGUCGUCAAAUGGAAAGUUAGCUCAUAUAUAUGAGAUGGUAGAUCGCCUUUUUUAAAAGCAAAACCAGCAACGAGGAAGAAGAUGACCCACGUCCUAGCCUGCCCCCUUAUUUUGUAACACCAAUUGACGCGCACAACCUUCUGCUUUCUGAGAUUUUCCACAUCAAUAUCAGCGCUCUAACGGUUAGCCAAGUGAUUAAAAACCUUCCUCGGCACCUUUGGAAUCCAUAUAGAAGUACAUGGAAAACAUGCUCCAUGUACUUCUAUAUGGAUUCCAAAAAUGCUCCUCAAAAAAAAGUUGCUCCUCCCGGACCCGAAGUUUCUCAUAGAAGGACUUCACAAAGAACACUCCAUACUACCCAAGCACUGCCAUCAAGCAUCGGGGUUAUCAGUGACUUGCCUAUGUUAAUAAAGCUACCAAUCUUGUAAACUCAAUUACUUCCCAAUCUUGAAAUUUCCUUGUAAAUCUCAAACCCCGAAAAGUUUAGCAUUCCCCUAAUAGGUUGUAUUGUCGAGUCUAUUUGGUAAGAUAUUUUGUACAAGCUUUUCUUUUUGAGAAAGGUAACUUUUAAUCUAUAUUUUUUGUACAAUCUAUGGAAUUUAUCUUUCAAUAAAAUGUCCCCAAAAUUUAUCACCUUCCAUCUCUGAUCUUGAAUGAGAUAUUAUCCCAAACAUAAUCUCAUCCUGUCGUGAUACUCCUUCACAAGCCUCAACCAAAAUGGCAAAGUGAUAUAUCUAGAUCUCUAUUCUCCUUCCUCACUACCAUAUUUAUUUGCUAUCACCGCCCACCCCUUCCACAAAGCUUGUACCUCCAACCUGAACCUCCAAAGGCACUUGCCUAAUAAAGCUUUAUUUAAAAACUUUUAAAUCUUUAAUUAGAAGACCACCCUUUUUAGGAGAUGUGAUAGUCUCACCAAAUCAAAUGAAAUUUCCUUGACCCAUUUGUUGCAUCCCAUAGGAAAUUUGUCUAAACAUUUUCCAACUUUUCAAUGACCGAAGUUUGAAUUUCCUAGAUUCUGGAGAGAAAUGGGAGUCCCUCAAAAAUCCAUUCUUGUAUCAAAAGUGCUAGUUAUAGUACGUAUAACAAUAGUAACUUUAACAAACACCUGUCCAUGUCCAAGUCUUCUGUACAUCAUGGCACUAUCUUGGUGCUCUUAUGAAUAAAAUAAAAUUCUUAAUUCACAACCAAAAAAAGGAGCACAUGCCCAAGUAUUAUUAGGCAGAUUUUUUUUUUUGAUAAGGUAACAUGAAGUAUCAGGAAGAUUUAAUCCGUACAACUUAAGUCUGUGUGAAGGUAUCCCGUACAUAUUACAGAAAAAAUUUGCUCAUCAAUUGUAAUAAGUCUUGGUGGGGGUUUUAUUCCUGUUAUGAUUCCGUGUUCCGUGUUCCAUGUUUUAUUACGAAUCUGUGUGCUUUCCUCUGCUUUCCUCUGGUUUAUAUUACUUAUGGGUGCCGUAUUUAUGUUAUGUAAUCUGCUUCUGUGCUUUACUAUGUGUUUGUGUGGUAUCUCGUACCUUGAACCGGGGGUCUAUCGGAAACAGCCUUUCUACUUCAUCAGAGGUAGAGGUAUGGACUGCGUACAUCUUACCCCCCAGACCCCACUAGGUGGGAAUACACUGGGUUUGUUGUUGUUGUUGUUGUAAUUGUAAUAAGGAGUCCAACAGUUUCGGCAUUUUUUGAAAUCUUAAUAUUUGAAGAAUUGCCACGAGAUUCAUGUUUGCAACCAUCCACUAUUUGUCAACCAAGUUUACACCAGAGUAAUGGAACCCUAAAGUUCCCAACAUUUAGUAAAUAACCAAUUUAAGAUUCAGGAAGUUCCAGGCUACAGGUAUAAGCUAAUAACGGCUAACUUAUUUAUUUUAGCACUCUUGUUUUGUUUAGGACUCUUGUUAUUUUUUGUACUUAUCAGCUUUGUAUAUUUAGGACUGUAUUCUAGUUAUUUUUGUACUUAUAAGCUUUGAAUAUUUAUGAUUGUAUUCUAGUAGGUGUCUUUGUUACAUGUAAUACACAGGCUAUAAAAGUCAAUACGUAAGAUCAAUAAAAAUCAUCGUUCACUACCAGCUAUUCUCUCUUUCUUUAUGGUAUCAAGAGCUCUAUAGCUUUAACAAGCUUGAUCCUUCUUUUUUUUUUCCUUUCCUCUUCUAUUUUUUCCGGCUGAAACACCUCACACCUAAAUGGACCCAAAUACAAGCAUCGUCAAAGCCGACAACAUCUCCAAUUCAAAGAUUGUAGUCCAGUUCAAUCCGGUUACUCAACUCCCCAUCAAACUUGCUAGCCAUAACUUUUCAUUGUGGAAGGCGCAGGUGUCCACGCUUAUGCAUGGACACAACCUCUUUGGUCAUCUUGAUGGGUCGAUACCAACCCCCUCCAAAACUAUAUUUGAAAACAACGUAGAGGUACCCAAUCCUGAUUUUGUUUUCCGGUUUCAACAAGAUCAGCUUAUACAAAAUGCUAUUUUGGCAACUAUAGAUGCAACCAUUGGCAGUACAGGCGCUUCUACUACAAAUGCAAAAGUCGCUCGGGACGCCUUGCAUACUGCUUAUGCAAAUAAGUCUCAAACUCGUAUUUUUAGUCUUAGAGAUCGUCUAGCCCGCGUUUCCAAAGACUCCCGCCCUGUUGCUGACUAUCUCCAUCAAGUUCGAUCUCUUUGUGAUGAACUUGCCACUGCUGGAUCCCCCGUAUCCAAUAAAGAAUUGAUUGUCAAGAUUCUGGCUGGCAUUGGAUCUGAAUUUCGAGAACUUUCAGUCGCUAUCCGUGCUUGAGAUUCAACAAUCCCCUAUGAAGAACUAUAUGAAAAACUCCUUGAACAUGAGCUUUUCCUGCAGCAUGAGGAUGCCAAAAAGAAACCUUCUUUUCCAAUCACUGCGAACAUUGCUAAGGGAACCACUUCCAGUCCUAUGCGUCAAGGCUCCACCAAUCACCAGAACAAUAAUCGAAGAUCAAAUGCGCCAAACCAGCAAAAUAAUUGUCAGUCCUGGCGUGACAAUCAGCAACCUCGGUGUAAUAAUCAACAAUAGUCUUCCAACAACAACCUCUACUGCCAACUCUGUGAUCGUAAAGGUCAUACUGCUCGUGUAUGUCGAACUCGCUCUCAUAAUCAUCUUCAAGCGCGUGCUAAUUAUGUUGCAAGCCUCCCAAAUCAUUCAACUUCGUGGAUCGUUGACAGUGGUGUAACCCACUAUAUGGCCUCAGACACACAGAGUUUAGCCACUACGCAAAACUACCAUGGUUCGGAUGAAAUCGUCAUGGGUAAUGGUAAUACUAUUCCAAUCUCUCAAACUGGUAAUGUGAAUUUUAAUGCACCAAAUUACCAAUUCCAGCUUCGACAUAUCCUUUGCUCUCCGGCUAUCAAAAAUAAUCUAAUUUCUGUCUCUAAGUUUUGUCAAGAUAAUAACUCGUUUAUUGAAUUUUUUCCUUUCUCUUAUCUUGUGAAGGAUCUGACUAUGGGGGCGCCAUUGGCUCGAGGAUGGAGUAAAAACGGGCUGUAUGAGUGGCCACCAGGGUGGCAACGUUGCUGUUUCAUACAACCUGUGGCAUCAACGAUUAGGCCACCCUAAUCGUCAAGUUUUAAAUAAAUUUUUGCAUGAUUUUUCCAUUCCAGUUAAUGGUUCCAAAACUAAUACUGUUUGUAAUUCAUGCUAUUCUAAUAAAAACCACAGGAUGCCUUUUUCAAAAGGUUCUUUGCACAGUGUUAGUCCAUUAAAUUUAAUUUACGGUGAUUUGUGGGGACCGUCUCCAAUAAUAUCGAUUGACAAAAAACGAUACUAUGUUUUAUUUGUCGAUCAAUUUUCAAAAUAUAUGUGGUUAUUCACACUCAAAGCUAAAACAGAAGUUCUGGAAAUCUUCAAAACUUUACAUCCCAUGCUUGAAAGACAUUUUCAAACAAAAAUUUUAUCCUUAUAUACUGAUGGUGGUGGUGAAUUUCAAAAAUUAGAUUGCUAUUUAAAAAUACAUGGAAUUGAACACUUCCCCCCAUACACACCACAAAUGGUAGCUUUAGUUGAACGCCGACAUCGGCAUGUCAUCGAGACAGCCCGCACUUUACUACACCAAGCAUCCUUACCUUUAAUUUUUUGGAGUUAUGCCUGUCAUCAAGCUGUUUAUUUGAUCAAUAGGAUGUCUACACCCAAUCUUCAAAAUAAAUCACCUUUUGAAAUCCUAUUUCAAGUCGUGCCUAAUUAUAAUUUCAUCAAGGUUUUUGGAUGCUUAUGCUACCCAUGGCUAAAACCUUAUUCCCAUAAUAAAUUGGAACCUCGAUUCACACCAUGUGUUUAUUUAGGAUUUUCUAAUAAAUAUUACAGCCAUCAGUAUUCUGAUCCAGUUAACUCCAAAUUAUAUUUAUCUAGGGAUGUGACUUUUUUGGAAGACAAUUUUCCAUUUCAAAAUAUAUUUUUUAGUUUUAAAAAUAAAGUUAAUGUUUCUUGGGAUACGAUUUUUGUUGAACAACAACCCAGGGAGGACACUCAUUCAAUUUCACAUUCCUCCUAUGAACUCCCCCGCCAGUAACUACGUUGUCCACGGCCACUCAACGCCUGCAAACUAUCUCCUCCGCUUCAGAUGGCGUCCCUCCACAAUCAGGUAACAUUCCUUCUCAAAUCUCGACAUCCACUCCUUCACCCACUACACAAGUCCCACAAAAACAGACUACUUCUGCUUCUUCAGCAUCUCAAACAUUGCCCUCACGGCCACUUAUCACGUAUCGCAGACGAGAAAAACCACCCAUUCCUAGCCAAACUCCACAUCCGCCUCACAAUCCAUCUGCUCCGGCACAAAAUCAGCCACAAAUGGCUUUCCCCCCGCCCCAACCAAUAGCUCCUCUUACUUAACCUGACACACCAACCCAAUCCCGACCAACCCAGCUAGCCACCAAAGUGCACCCAAUGACCACCCGCUCACAGACUAAUAGUCUGAAACCUCGUCAGUUUCUCACAACCACUACACCAUCUCCAAAAAUCCCCACAACCUAUAAGCAAGCUAAGCUAACUCCCCAAUGGAAUUCAGCAAUGCAAGCUGAAUUUGAUGCUCUUGUUCACAACCAUACUUGGGAUUUGGUUCCAUGUGAUUCUUCCAAAAACGUGGUGGAUUGUAAGUGGCUAUUUCGCAUUAAACAUAAACCUGACGGUUCUGUUGACAGGUACAAGGCUCGUUUGGUUGCCAAGGGAUUUACUCAACGUCCAGGACUUGAUUAUCAUUCCACCUUCAGUCCGGUAGUCAAGCCUGCUACUGUCCGUCUUGUCCUAACAAUGCCUUCUUACAGGGUCAUCUUAAUGAAGAAGUUUACAUGCGUCAGCCACCUGGAUUUGAGGAUUCUAGAAAUCCUACCCACGUAUGUCGUCUUCAGAAAGCAAUUUAUGGUCUCAAAUAGGCUCCUCGUGCUUGGUACUCUGAAUUGAAAAACUAUCUCAUUACUUUGGGUUUUGUUAAAUCAUAUUCUGAUUCCUCGCUUUUCAUUAUGCAUAAGUUUGGGUCCACUGUAUAUAUUUUAGUUUAGGUGGAUGAUAUCUUAGUAACCGGUAAUCACAAUCAAAGUGUUUGUUCUAUCAUUGAGGCACUUUCCCAACGUUUUUCACUGAAGGACUUGGGGCCUCUUCAUUACUUUCUCGGUGUUGAGGUAAUUCGUACUUCCACUGGUCUCUUGCUUUCUCAAGAGAAGUACACCAUGGAUCUUCUACAUGAGGUAGCAAUGGAUAAUUGCAAAGGUGUUUCCACGCCUAUGACAUCUAAUGUUGUUUUUGAUCUCUCACCUGAUGAUAAUUUAGUCGAUGGUUCCUUAUAUCGGCGCAUUAUUGGUAAGCUUCAUUACCUUACUUUCACUCAUCCAGUCAUUGCUUUUGCUGUCAGCAAGUUGUCACAGGCUAUGCAUCAACCGCUUAUGUCUCAUUGGGUUGCUUCUUAAACGACUACUCCGCUAUCUUCGUUCAACUACUUUAUUUGGUGUACUCAUUGCUAAGGAGAGUGAUCGUAGACUGUUUGCGUACUCUGAUUCAGACUGGGCAGGGGAUCCUCAAGAUCGCACCUCCACCACAGGUUAUAUUAUCUAUGUUGGUCGUUCUCCUAUUUCAUGGUCUUCGGAGAAGCAGCAUUCAGUUUCUCGUUCUACAACGGAGGCAGAAUAUCGAGCAGUUGCUGCUACUGUUUCUGAAACUAACUGGCUCACCCAUCUUCUUGGGGAGCUUCGGUUUCCUCUGACUGCUGUUCCAAGAGUUCUCUGUGACAAUAUUAGCACCACUUAUAUUUGUGCCAAUCCUGUCUUCCAUAGCCGCAUGAAGCAUGUGGCCAUCGACUUCCACUUUGUCCGUGAGCAAGUUGAGAGCAAACACAUUGAGGUUGCACAUCUACAUGCUGCUGACCAAGUUGCUGAUCUUCUUACAAAGCCUCUUCCCCGCACACUUUUCAGUAAACAUUUUUCCAAGUUGGGCAUAGUAGACCUUGACGCCAACUUGCGGGGGCGUAAUAACGGCUAAUUUAUUUAUUUUAGGACUCUUGUUUUGUUUAAGACUCUUGUUAUUUUUUGUACUUAUCAGCUUUGUAUAUUUAGGACUGUAUUCUAGUUAUUUUUUGUACUUAUCAGCUUUGUAUAUUUAGGAUUGUAUUCUAGUAGGUCUCUUUGUUACAUGUAAUACACAGGCUAUAAAAGCCAAUACAUAGGAUCAAUAAAAAUCAUCGUUCAGUACCAGCUUUUCUCUCUUUCUUUAUAAGCCACACGGAACUGAAAAGGGCAAGUCAAAAUUAAAUUAAAUCAAAUACUGGCAUUCCAAAGGUUCUAGAAAGAGCAGGAAGCACCCCCACUCAAAUAUUUGUAAAACCAAUGGUUUUAAAAGAUGAAACUAAAAGAAACAGCAUGGUCCACUGGGGCUUGAAGCGAAAAACGAGAACUUAGGCGUAAGCUUCUUUAAAGUUUUAAGUGAAGGCCUUGAUCCAAAAAAAAAGUUUAAAGUAAAGGCGCAGUUUACGAAAAAUCAAAAAGCAUCAUAAAUAUAUGAGUUUACUACUAUACUAAUCAAAUUCCAAAUAAAAUAACUAAUUUCAACAUCUCCUAUACAAUAAUGUCGAAAUCAAUCCAACUCCUCAAAUUUGAAGCUCAAAGAAUCAAUCAAUUCUUGUUGGAACCACUUUGCGCGUCAUUUUGAGGCACAUACUUAUCUAACGGGCAAGGGUCUGUCCAUGAAGCAAUGGCCCCUCUCUUCGCCUCGUUUCAUCGUUUAAACCAACUACUUAUAAUAACAUUGCUUAAAAGCAGCACAGCCAACACAAAAGAGAGGAAUAAACUCACCAGAAGCUGUUUUGCUAUCAAACAGCACAUUUACAGAUUGUUGAAGAUCCAUCAAGCGGCUAAUGAUCUUAGACCUUCCAACCCGGUUGAUAUGAGCAUUUCCCAAAGCGAUAUUUGACUGAAUGACCUUGCCAAGAAGAACCGUAUGUGGAUGUUCCAUAACCUGAAGAGGCAUCAGAACUUAAACGUAAGUAAACGAGGGAUAUAAAGAUAGGAUGAGAAAUUCCACAAACAUCCUGUGAGGUUUUGUCCUGUAAAAUGCCUCCCGUGGUGUUAAAUGUUACACAACCUAACAAACUUAUUUUGUAACUUACAAAUGGAUAUGGUUGCCCCUCAUGUGUUACUUUUAUGCUUCCUUUAUUUUGUGUACUGGCAAAUGGAUAUGGUUGUCCUGCAAUUAUAGCAGAAAAUCUAUACGAGAACAAUUGGACUAUUAUACACAUUUUUUGAUAAGGGACUAUUAUAUACAGGUUUGAAGAACACAUCUUGUGUUACAUGGUUAUUACUAUCAGACUGACAAGAGAAAGCAUAACAACAAAUAUAAGAAAUUUUGAAAUGGUGUUCAAAAUGCUUACAGAGUCACCCGCUUUGGCUGGAGGGCGGAACUUGACUGGUGGUACAAGAAUGGACUCCAAAAAGAACAUAGAGGGCCCAGCCACCUUGCCAGGUGUAUUACGGUGCUGGCUCUGAAUAUCACAGAAGAAUGUGCAAAGAGGAGCUUCGUUUUCCCAUAAAUGCUCUAUAAUAUUUCUGACCUGUCAAUUAUAACCUAAAGAGAUUGCUAAAAAGAACUACAAAAUUAUAUAGCAGCUAAGAUAUUAUUAUCAUCAGAAUAAUCAAGCAAAAGAUAAGCAAGAUAUUAGAGAAACAACUAGAACAUGCAAGCUACAAAAGCUUGUUGCUCACGGUGGAAGCCAUACCUGAGAUGGUAAAUGUGCUACUGAAAAUGAGUCCUUUUGUUGCUUCUCAAUCACAUCAGACUGGUCAACCCCUUGCUUCCCACGUGCCUUAGGAUUUUCCAAUCCAUCUGAAGAAGUCACAAAUAAGCUGGUUUCAUCUUCCACUGAUGGCUCGGUGACAUUUACCACCUCAGGGGAAGGAUUUUCCUCACUUCCGCCAGUGUAAUGCAGAUUGAACCUGCGACCACUUUUGAUAGAAUUGUCCCUAAUUUGCUUACUUGAGAUAUCCUACAAAAAUUCAAUUGAGCAUAAAACAGCAGCUUAAUACUUCAUAACUACGAGGUAAUCUCUAUGCCUGUCGAAGUAGUGUUGUCAUUUGACUAAAGAAAACAUUUCACGAAAGAAAUCGAACGUCAAAGCUACUAAUAGACAAACUCCACAAAUCAACAGAAAAAUGUUGAGGAUAUAUGACGCCCGCAUCUGAAAACUAUCCAAUGACAUCAUACCUGAAUCAGGUAUUUCUAAAAAUAUAUUCAUAUAGCAGACCUACAACUAAGCCAGACAAACCAAUCAAAAGUACCUUCCAUUCUGAAAGAUCCACAGUAAGACAAAAGAGGAGGGAUAUAGAAAGCACAAACAUGUGCAUUCAUGCUCACCAGAAGUGCAGAAUUAAAACAGGAUGAACAAUAAUAGUACUUCGAAAGUUUACUAUGAAAAAUAGAAGUACCAGUGAAGCCGGAAAAAGAUUGAUAGCUUAUUUUACCUAGUAUUUAGCAGAGAAAAUCAAAUAGCCACAAUUGUAAACAACAUAAACUUUCCCAAAUAGAGAAUUUUAAGUUGAACAUGGAUACAGGAAGCCGCAAUUAUGGAAACGUGUAGGAUGGCCAAAGCAACACUUAUAUACAAAUUAUUCAAAAUAGACUGAGAAGAAGGCAGUUGUUAGGCUAUUUGGUUCUUUAACUAUUUUUUUGUUGUAAAAUUUGGGUCUUUAAUGAUUGACCACACUUUGUGUACUUCUGGUGGAGAUUGCCAAUUGGGGAGGAGCUAAAUAAAUGUGAAUUUGUGAUGGCUUAUACUAGGGAAANNNNNNNNNNNNNNNNNNNNNNNNNNNNNNNNNNNNNNNNNNNNNNNNNNNNNNNNNNNNNNNNNNNNNNNNNNNNNNNNNNNNNNNNNNNNNNNNNNNNNNNNNNNNNNNNNNNNNNNNNNNNNNNNNNNNNNNNNNNNNNNNNNNNNNNNNNNNNNNNNNNNNNNNNNNNNNNNNNNNNNNNNNNNNNNNNNNNNNNNNNNNNNNNNNNNNNNNNNNNNNNNNNNNNNNNNNNNNNNNNNNNNNNNNNNNNNNNNNNNNNNNNNNNNNNNNNNNNNNNNNNNNNNNNNNNNNNNNNNNNNNNNNNNNNNNNNNNNNNNNNNNNNNNNNNNNNNNNNNNNNNNNNNNNNNNNNNNNNNNNNNNNNNNNNNNNNNNNNNNNNNNNNNNNNNNNNNNNNNNNNNNNNNNNNNNNNNNNNNNNNNNNNNNNNNNNNNNNNNNNNNNNNNNNNNNNNNNNNNNNNNNNNNNNNNNNNNNNNNNNNNNNNNNNNNNNNNNNNNNNNNNNNNNNNNNNNNNNNNNNNNNNNNNNNNNNNNNNNNNNNNNNNNNNNNNNNNNNNNNNNNNNNNNNNNNNNNNNNNNNNNNNNNNNNNNNNNNNNNNNNNNNNNNNNNNNNNNNNNNNNNNNNNNNNNNNNNNNNNNNNNNNNNNNNNNNNNNNNNNNNNNNNNNNNNNNNNNNNNNNNNNNNNNNNNNNNNNNNNNNNNNNNNNNNNNNNNNNNNNNNNNNNNNNNNNNNNNNNNNNNNNNNNNNNNNNNNNNNNNNNNNNNNNNNNNNNNNNNNNNNNNNNNNNNNNNNNNNNNNNNNNNNNNNNNNNGCUCUUGUUUCAACCCCAGGCUAAUGUGCAUUGGGUUUGAAACUUUGAAUAACACCUCCUUGACCACAACCAGAUUAACGUCUCACCAGUCAUGCUCUCAAACUUAACAACCUUCGAACUAAGAUUGUAUGAAACUAUUUAUAUUUUCAACUGGUUUCUCCCAAGGUUUAGAGGUGGGUAAAUGGUGUUCCCCUAAGGAGCAUCUUGUUUGACUCUUUAGGAAAUGCUGGACUGAAGAUUUGAGAGAUAUUGUAUUGAUCUACUACAUUUUUGCUUGAAAAGGAACAGAAAAAGGUGCAGUCCAGACCAUGGGAGACCAAAGUUUGAAUAAAAAAACAGGCAAAAACUAGGUACUUUUUUCCAUAUACUUAAACUUUAGUGGGAGUUACUAGAUGCUUGUAUUGUACUGAUAGAAGGAUGCACUAUGCAGAAACCGCCAUCCCAAAGGUGAAAAAAGGAACUGCUACAAAUUACCAGAAAAUACUCAAGUAUUGAAUUUUGUUUUAAAGUACACUGGCCAAUUAAAUGAUAUUGUGAAGAAAUGAACCUUGAGCUUCACUCAACCCAAAAGCUAGCUCAUGAGAUGAAGAUUUCCCAAGACAAUACAAGGAGACAACGUAUCCAUUUCCUUCACUAAUGUGGAACACUCACCCCCGCCCAUAAUUGAAUGCAAGGAUCAUGGAGAACAUAAAAUAGGAUCCAACAUUGGAUAAACUAAGAAUACGGAUGGAUAUGACCCAGAUACCAUGUUAAGAAUGGACCUCGGGUCUAGCUCAAUCCCAAAAGCCAACCCAUAAGGAGGAUUGUCCAAAACCACAUAAGGAGACGGCAACUCAUUCCACAACCAAUCUGGAACUUCUGAACACACACACCGGGCAUUCCAGGAUCAAAUAGCUAGAGAGUAAAUAACAUAACAGGAGACCCAACAUUGAGAAACAGAAUACAUAUUGAUGGCUAUGGCUCCGAUAUCAUGUUAAUUGAAAUGUGUUACCAUCUCAUUUAAAAGCUUAAACUUUUUCUUUUGAGAUCUCAAUUAAAUGCUCAAAUAUUUAGAUAAGAUGAUCACACCUCAACAUGGUAUCAAAACAAGAAAAGAUCCUACGUUCGAGUCUCACCGCCACCCAUUAUCAAAAAAAUAUCCACAUACUUUAUCCAUCAGAAGGAAUCACGCAUGUACAUGAUGGGCCAUGUUGAAGACAUAAUUAAGUAAACAAAGGUGUGCUCUCGCUAAAAGCUUAAGCUUUUAGAUGAGAUGAUAAAAACCUUCAAUUAACAGAUAUGCCAAGCCAUUUUCUAGAAAAUGAUUUAUGUCAGCUUAGGACAAAAAAAAUAUAAUUCGUAACAGAAUCAAUACUCAUCCGGUAAUAUCAUUUUUAAAGGGAAACUGAAAAACGCACUGACGACACCAAUGUGAUGAAAAGAGACAUACCAUAUGAAACCGUCCAAAACUAGGUUUGGUGAUCUUUGGAUUUUUUGCGUCACAGUUGCUACAUUUCCCAGAUUUCGUCUUGAGAAUUCUAUCGAUAACUGCCAUAGCUUCAAUAAACUGGAAAUUGUCCCAAGAUGGCCUCUUAUUGUACUCACACUGAUCUUGCCUAUUCAAAUCAUCCAUUGUGCAUGACAUAUGGCUGCCUUCACUUUCCUCCCGAUCACUAGAUUCAUCAGGAGAAAGGGCAUCCAUCGUUUUGGCCCCAACAACAUCACCUUUUGCAAUUAACUCUAAUUCAGAAACACACUUUUCAACCUAACUCGGAAAAGAAUGCAGAGUAUUAGUGCGGAUAAGAGUAUAUGGUUAUACAAGUGCUAGGGAAAAGAAUUAACAAUUCUAUCAUAAAAAAGGGUACCUCUGCUCUUGAUGCCCUAAAAUGGAAACAAUAAAAGCAUGUUCUUUGCAGAAGAUUGUGCAGCAUAUUGAAAAGCAAGGGAUUGUAGACCGGUGAAACAAGUUCAAUAUGACCACAGUGACCAGAGCAGUUACGUUGGCCACAUGAUUUACACCUAAACAAGUUGUUACAUAAACAAAUCAAAGCAAAGACAUGAACAAAGAAAGAGUAUCCAACAGAACGAAAACAAAUUGAACAUAGUGACUACAAAAAAUUUUAAGACACUAUACUGCCAAGCAACUGAUAUUCAAUAUUUAAAUUUGGCAAAACGAACUAUACCUACAGACUACAGUCACGUGUCUAUAUACUUCUCAAAUGUACUUUAACAAAAUAUAUUUCACAAUCAUACUAAACCAACUGACUAAAUAUCAAACUCAAAUUAUUACACCUACACUCGAGCAUAGUGUGGGAUAGAAUAGAGCAUACACCUCCCCUUCAAAUUUCAGUUUCCAUAGUAAGACAAUACUUACUCAAAUUAUGAUGGCAAAAAGAGCAUACAUAUUUGUAAAGAA